rnacentral:rRNA from 1 species
UACGAAGGGUGCAAGCGUUACUCGGAAUUACUGGGCGUAAAGCGUGCGUAGGUGGUUGUUUAAGUCUGCUGUGAAAGCCCUGGGCUCAACCUGGGAAUUGCAGUGGAUACUGGGCGACUAGAGUGUGGAAGAGGAUAGUGGAAUUUCCGGUGUAGCAGUGAAAUGCGUAGAGAUCGGAAGGAACAGCUGUGGCGAAGGCGACUAUCUGGGCCAACACUGACACUGAGGCACGAAAGCGUGGGGAGCAAACAGG